rnacentral:rRNA from 1 species
CCUACGGGAGGCAGCAGUGGGGAAUCUUGGACAAUGGGGGCAACCCUGAUCCAGCCAUGCCGCGUGAGUGAUGAAGGCCUUAGGGUCGUAAAGCUCUUUCGCCUGUGAUGAUAAUGACAGUAGCAGGUAAAGAAACCCCGGCUAACUCCGUGCCAGCAGCCGCGGUAAUACGGAGGGGGUUAGCGUUGUUCGGAAUUACUGGGCGUAAAGCGCGCGUAGGCGGAUUAGUCAGUUAGAGGUGAAAUCCCAGGGCUCAACCCUGGAACUGCCUUUAAAACUCCCAGUCUAGAGUUCGAGAGAGGUGAGUGGAAUUCCGAGUGUAGAGGUGAAAUUCGUAGAUAUUCGGAGGAACACCAGUGGCGAAGGCGGCUCACUGGCUCGAUACUGACGCUGAGGUGCGAAAGUGUGGGGAGCAAACAGGAUUAGAUACCCUGGUAGUCCACACCGUAAACGAUGAAUGCCAGUCGUCGGGUAGCAUGCUGCUCGGUGACACACCUAACGGAUUAAGCAUUCCGCCUGGGGAGUACGGUCGCAAGAUUAAAACUCAAAGGAAUUGACGGGG